rnacentral:rRNA from 1 species
UACAGAGGGUGCAAGCGUUGUUCGGAAUUACUGGGCGUAAAGGGCUCGUAGGCGGCCAACUAAGUCAUACGUGAAAUCCCUCAGCUUAACUGGGGAACUGCGUGUGAUACUGGAUGGCUUGGAUUUGGGAGAGGGAUGCGGAAUUCCAGGUGUAGCGGUGAAAUGCGUAGAUAUCUGGAGGAACACCGGUGGCGAAGGCGGCAUCCUGGACCGAUAUUGACGCUGAUGCGCGAAAGCCAGGGGAGCAAACGGGG